rnacentral:rRNA from 1 species
AUGAGCAGGAAACUCAAGAGCGUCCUAGAUAAGAUCAAUAACUUGGUUGAGGAAAUGAGCAAGUUUGGCCUCAAGAAUUCUGUCUGUAGGGAGAAGCAGGAACAUCCUUGGCGGCAGACGCACUCAAAACUGGACGACACUACGCAGAUCUUUGGAAGAGAUGAUGAUAAGGAGGUGGUGGUGAAGUUGCUGCUGGACCAGCAGGAUCAGCAGAGGGUGGAGGUGCUGCACAUCAUGCGGAUGGGAGGUCUUGGCAACACGACUCUUGCCAAGAUGGUCUAUAAUGACCCAGGGGUCCAGCAACAUUUCAAGUUGAAGAUGUGGCACUGUGUGUCUGACAACUUUGAUGUCAUUGCUCUUUUGAAAUCCAUCAUUGAGUUGGCUAUAAGUGGAAGAUGUGACAUGCCUGACAUGAUUGAGCUGUUGCAAAGGAAACUUGAGCAAGUCAUUGGCCAAAAAACAUUUUUGUGUUCUGACAUGAUUGAGCUGUUGCAAAGGACUAUGUGA